GAUGAACGCUGGCGGCGUGCCUAAUACAUGCAAGUCGAGCGAAUGGAUUAAGAGCUUGCUCUUAUGAAGUUAGCGGCGGACGGGUGAGUAACACGUGGGUAACCUGCCCAUAAGACUGGGAUAACUCCGGGAAACCGGGGCUAAUACCGGAUAACAUUUUGAACCGCAUGGUUCGAAAUUGAAAGGCGGCUUCGGCUGUCACUUAUGGGUGGACCCGCGUCGCAUUAGCUAGUUGGUGAGGUAACGGCUCACCAAGGCAACGAUGCGUAGCCGACCGGAGAGGGUGACCGGCCACACUGGGACUGAGACACGGCCCAGACUCCUACGGGAGGCAGCAGUAGGGAAUCUUCCGCAAUGGACGAAAGUCUGACGGAGCAACGCCGCGUGAGUGAUGAAGGCUUUCGGGUCGUAAAACUCUGUUGUUAGGGAAGAACAAGUGCUAGUUGAAUAAGCUGGCACCUUGACGGUACCUAACCAGAAAGCCACGGCUAACUACGUGCCAGCCGCCGCCGUAA
rnacentral:rRNA from 1 species